AACGAACGCUGGCGGCAUGCCUAACACAUGCAAGUCGAACGAGACCUUCGGGUCUAGUGGCGCACGGGUGCGUAACGCGUGGGAACCUGCCCUUAGGUUCGGAAUAACUCCCCGAAAGGGGUGCUAAUACCGGUUAAUGUCUUCGGACCAAAGAUUUCUCGCCUUUGGAUGGGCCCGCGUUGGAUUAGCUAGUUGGUAGGGUAAAAGCCUACCAAGGCGACGAUCCAUAGCUGGUCUGAGAGGAGGAUCAGCCACACUGGGACUGAGACACGGCCCAGAAUCCUACGGGAGGGAGCAGUGGGGAAUAUUGGACACUGGGCGAAAGCCUGAUCCAGCAACGCCGCGUGAGUGAUGAAGGCCUUAGGGUUGUAAAGCCCUUUUACCCGGGAUGAUAAUGACAGUACCGGGAGAAGAAGCUCCGGCUAACUCCGUG
rnacentral:rRNA from 1 species